UUGAAUUCUUCUAUCAACAGGGUAUAUAUAUCUAUAACCCAAUGCAUGCUCCUUUUGAGUUCAUUCUAUACUGUUUGUUCUGUCAAUAUUUUCUGUUUAAAAGUUUGCCUCCGUUAAAUAAAAAAAAUCAUAUAUUUCAACAUUGAUGUGUACAUGUUAGACUUGAAUUUGAACAGCCUGUCUCUGGCGGAUAUAAAUGUCAUUGUUUGACUGGGUUUAAUGCUCGGGUCGAUGCACACUCAAGUCGUAAAAUUUUCCUUUUGAAAGGUAAAAAAUGGACAUUUCUUUUUAUGUUAGUUGGGACUUAUCUCUUCAGAAAAGAAAGAUUUUAUCUCAGAGAGAGAGAGAGAGAGAGAGAGAGAGAGAGAGAAGGGGGUUUGUUGUGAGUACCGGUAGUUAUAAAGUGUGCCAUUAAUAUUUGCCUACUGAAGCACUGAGAUGUAAGGGAGACAAUAAUGAUAGAAACAGCUUUUGAUAAUAAAAGUAAAGAAUCAUUUCGUGGAAAGCAAACUGUUACAAACAAUUACUGAUAUAGCUAUUAAUGAAGGAAAGGUUAGCAUGCUUGAUCAAGCAAAAUGACACUCUGAUUUUGUUAUGGUGGGAUUUAUCAUGAAAACACAUAUUUAUUUUUUUCAGGCUCCUCGGCUAGAAAACUUGUGCAAUUUCACUUUUAAUCUCUGUUUCACAUAUUUGAUAGGGAUAUUUAGCAGAAAAGUGAGACUGUAGAUCAAAAGUGAGAAUGUUUUAGAUUUUAAGGACUUGUAGCAUGAAAUUUUAAUCUGCAUCCACCCCUUUUUAGAGACUGAAGUUGGGGGGAGCUUAUGCUUUACUGUCGGCAUCUAGACCUGUUUUUCUCCAAGUUUUACAAAAUUGCCUCUCAAUUGAAACCUGCAGUUUGGUUAUAAGCAAGAGUGUAGUAAAAAAAAACCACAAACAUUAUCACAAACACUGUUUCUUCACAUCUGGAGAAACACAUAUUUCACUAUGUAACAGCUAUAGAUAUUCAAUGGAAAGACCAAUGUUCCUUUUAACCAAAAUUUUACGACCUCAGUGUGCAUCAUUGCAGGGAGGGGGAGUUGAAUGUUUGAAACCCUUGCUGAUGAAAAGAUUUCUGUAUUUUUUUUGUGUUUUUCGUAUUUCUUGUUGAAUUUAAUUUAUUUUCUAUUAUGAUUUCUUGUUUUGUUUAGUAUGCCUAACACAGUAUAUUAUGUACAGGUUCUAUGCAGUUCAUACAUGUAUUUGGAUUUUUUUUGUUUUUUUGUUUAGUAUAAAUGUGUAUGAAAAUUUCAGUUUUAAAUGAAGGUUUUUUCAUGCAUUUGUAUUUGAUUUACACUUUAAUACUAAGCACUUACUCUUGAUAUAUAAUUAAUGAAUUUUAAAAAAGCAUGCAUGGAUUUAGAUUAUAUUUCAGGGGUGGGGUUCGGAGAGUGGACUAUCCUGUGAAUUACACAUGUACAUUUAUAUUCAUAUAGUCAAAGUAAAGAAAUCACCAAAAAAUGUAUUUACCAUUCUGCCAAAAAUGAUAUAACAACCUCUGAAAAUUUCCUUGAUUGAUGCCUUGUUUUAGAUACUGAAUUAAGUCAUCAUAACUAUGAUGUCAUUUGAAAUAAAAAGAGUUUUGCACUUUUUCAAAUAUUAAAUUUUUUUAAAAAGUUG
rnacentral:misc_RNA from 1 species